UACGUAGGGCGCAAGCGUUGUCCGGAAUUAUUGGGCGUAAAGAGCUCGUAGGCGGUCUGUCGCGUCCGUUGUGAAAACUCGAGGCUCAACCUCGGGCUUGCAGUGGAUACGGGCAGACUAGAGUGCGGUAGGGGAGACUGGAAUUCCUGGUGUAGCGGUGGAAUGCGCAGAUAUCAGGAGGAACACCGAUGGCGAAGGCAGGUCUCUGGCCGCAACUGACGCUGAGGAGCGAAAGCAUGGGAGCGAACAGG
rnacentral:rRNA from 1 species